rnacentral:tmRNA from 1 species
GGGAGCGUUCUUGGAUUCGACGGGGAUUACAAGACUCUAGGUGCAUGCCGAGGAUGAAAGAACCUCGUAAAUCCCUUUCAAAAAAAUAGUUGCAAACGACGACAACUACGCUUUGGCGGCUUAAUCCCCGCUGACGUUCACCUGAAGCAGUCUGCGGCUUCAGACUGAAUGACAUCCCAGCAGAACCGCCGGUGGACGCGUCCGCUAUCCGCCGGUUAAAUCAAGCGGAAUCGCGGCAAAGAUGCCUGACCGUUGGCUGCCUUGCCGUUAAAUCCCAAUAAACGACUCUAAGCAUGUAGUACCGACAGUUGAGGAUUCGCGGACGGGGGUUCAAAUCCCCCCGCUUCCACCA